UGUACUGUGUAGAUACUUAGAUUGCGGGUCAGAAUAGCCAGAAAAGCAUGCUGGCUUGCAUACUGCAAAAUGUGACCGGAUGAAGUAAGACAUACUGGUAUUUUUGGCAUACUGCAUUUGACACACUAUGUAUUGG